rnacentral:rRNA from 1 species
GGUCAAGCGAACAAGUGCAUGUGGUGGAUGCCUUGGCGAUCACAGGCGAUGAAGGACGCGGUAGCCUGCGAAAAGCCCCGGGGAGCUGGCAAACAAGCUUUGAUCCGGGGAUGUCCGAAUGGGGAAACCCACUCCUUUUGGAGUAUCCAUGACUGAAUACAUAGGUCAUGUGAAGCGAACGCGGUGAACUGAAACAUCUAAGUAACCGCAGGAAAAGAAAUCAACCGAGAUUCCCAAAGUAGUGGCGAGCGAAAUGGGAUGAGCCUUGUACUCUUUAUUUGUAUUGUUAGCCGA